rnacentral:lncRNA from 1 species
GAAAAGGAGAAGAGCAGGAGAGAGAGGCCUCUGGUGAAGAACCACGCAAUUCUGCAGGGAGAAGCAAUGCUUGGCAGAGCUCUGUAAUCACACAGUCGUGUGCAUCCAUCCCCAGCUGUCAACAGGAUCUUCUGAGUAAAACACAGCUAAAUAAAUCUCUGCAAUGAGGAAGGACCGCAAUCAAAGAUGAGGAAAUGGAGGAAAAGAAACUUCUUCAAGGUCACCUAGCUCAUAAAUGGCAACACCAAGAUUUAAAUUGAAGUAGUUUAUCUCGAGAGUCCUUGCUUUUGGAUGGGAGUCUUGUCGAUCACAUUCAACCCUAAAUACCCAUCAUGUAGAACAGUGCCUGGCACACAGUAGGCACUCAAUAAAUAUUUGUUGAAUGACUGAAUGAUGUAGUGGUUUCAAAGGAGACCCUAACCCUGGGUCUCCAUGAGCUUGCCCUUGGGUAUACCCUAUCACCUGUCUGAUCCUUAGACCUUUGGUAUUCAGAAUCUGGCCUGGCUAACAUUUUUUGAGAUAUUUCAAUACAACUUCAUCUUCAGCCAGAGUAAUGUUUGAAAUUAAAGCUAUCCUCUGCUUGAAAUCUACACAGUCACAACCAACAUGUACGUGAUGAUGUAUACAUUUCUAUGGUACUUUUCAAAUGCAUCUUCUCAUGUAACAAUAGUGCAAGGAAAGAAAUCAUUCCAAAGCCCUUCAGGAGAGUAGGAGAGACUGAAGUAGUCAUUGUCAUUACCUCAGCAGGUUAAUAUAAUAGCUUUUCACUCGCAUUUAAAUCCAGAGGAGAGAAACCACAUGAUAUGCAUUUGCCUGUGUCGGUAACAUCCGCAGGGAACAUUUACCUUUAUUACUAAGGCUAAUUUUGGGUUGAUAGAGUUAGAUCUUACUGAGAAUGUCUAGUUAUGAAGUUUUUUAAAAAAAAAAAGUGGGAAAAGUUAAAUCUUAUGGCAAGGCCAGGCUGAGCCAAGUUUCAUUAAAUAAUGGUGUAUUGUUAUAAAAUAUCAGGCAGGGCACAGUGGCUCAUACCUGUAAUCC